CGCGUAGGGCGCAAGCGUUGUCCGGAAUUAUUGGGCGUAAAGAGCUCGUAGGCGGUCUGUUGCGUCCGCUGUGAAAACUCGGGGCUUAACCCCGAGCCUGCAGUGGAUACGGGCAGACUAGAGGUAGGUAGGGGAGAAUGGAAUUCCCGGUGUAGCGGUGAAAUGCGCAGAUAUCGGGAGGAACACCAAUGGCGAAGGCAGCUCGCUGGGACGUGACUGACGCUGAGACGCGAAAGCGUGGGUAGCAAACAGG
rnacentral:rRNA from 1 species